AACGAACGCUGGCGGCAUGCCUAACACAUGCAAGUCGAACGAGGCCUUCGGGUCUAGUGGCGCACGGGUGCGUACCGCGUGGGAACCUGCCCUUAGGUUCGGAAUAACUCCCCGAAGGGGGUGCUAAUGCCGGAUAAUGUCUUCGGACCAAAGAUUUAUCGCCUUUGGAUGGGCGCGCGUUGGAUUAGCUAGUUGGUAGUGUAAAAGCCUACCAAGGCGACGAUCCAUAGCUGGUCUGAGAGGAUGAUCAGCCACACUGGGACUGAGACACGGCCCAGACUCGGACGGGAAGGAGCAGUGGGGAAUAUUGGAGAAUGGGCGAUAGUCUGAUCCAGCAACGCCGGGUGAGUGAUGAAGGCCGUAGGGUUGUAAAGCUCUUUUACCCGGGAUGAUAAUGACAGUACCGGGAGAAUAAGCUCCGGCUAACUCCGUG
rnacentral:rRNA from 1 species